rnacentral:rRNA from 2 species
AGUGUGCUGGAAUUCAGGUAAACGAUGAGUGCUAGGUGUUAGGCCCUUUCCGGGGCUUAGUGCCGCAGCUAACGCAUUAAGCACUCCGCCUGGGGAGUACGACCGCAAGGUUGAAACUCAAAGGAAUUGACGGGGGCCCGCACAAGCGGUGGAGCAUGUGGUUUAAUUCGAAGCAACGCGAAGAACCUUACCAGGUCUUGACAUCCCAGUGACCGCUCUAGAGAUAGAGUUUUUCUUCGGAACACUGGUGACAGGUGGUGCAUGGUUGUCGUCAGCUCGUGUCGUGAGAUGUUGGGUUAAGUCCCGCAACGAGCGCAACCCUUAUUGUUAGUUGCCAUCAUUCAGUUGGGCACUCUAGCGAGACUGCCGGUAAUAAACCGGAGGAAGGUGGGGAUGACGUCAAAUCAUCAUGCCCCUUAUGACCUGGGCUACACACGUGCUACAAUGGUUGGUACAACGAGUCGCAAGUCGGUGACGGCAAGCAAAUCUCUUAAAGCCAAUCUCAGUUCGGAUUGUAGGCUGCAACUCGCCUACAUGAAGUCGGAAUCGCUAGUAAUCGCGGAUCAGCACGCCGCGGUGAAUACGUUCCCGGGCCUUGUACACACCGCCCGUCACACCACGAGAGUUUGUAACACCC